AUUGAACGCUGGCGGCAGGCCUAACACAUGCAAGUCGAGCGAGCGUCGCACGCGUGUGUAAUAUAUUGGGGAUGUCCGAUAGAGGGGGGUAACUACUCGAAAAGGUAUCUAAUAUCGCGCACUAUCGGAUAACCCAUAUGGGAUUAGCUAGUAGGUGAGGUAAUGGCUCACCUAGGCGACGAUCCCUAGCUGGUCUGAGAGGAUGAGCAGCCACACUGGUACUGAGACACGGCCCAGACUCCUACGGAGGCAGCAGUGGGGAAUAUUGCACAAUGGGCGCAAGCCUGAUGCAGCCAUGCCGCGUGUAUGAAGAAGGCCUUAGGGUUGUAAAGUACUUUCAGUCGGGAGGCGUUACCGACAGAAGAAGCACCGGCUAACUCCGUGCCAGCAGCCGCGGUAAUAC
rnacentral:rRNA from 1 species